rnacentral:rRNA from 1 species
GACGAACGCUGGCGGCGUGCUUAACACAUGCAAGUCGAACGAAGUGGCGAACGGGUGAGUAACGCGUCAUCAACCUGCCCUUCAGAGGGGUACACCAGUUGGACACGACUGCUAAUACCGCAUACUGAAGGAGGGGCUUGCGGCUGAUUAGCUAGUUGGAGGGGUAACGGCCCACACAGGCGAUGAUCAGUAGACGGUCUUGUGGGAUGACCGGCCAAAUGGGGACUGAGACACGGCCCAGGCGCCGACGGGAGGCAGCAGUGGGGAAUCUUCCGCAAUGGAGGAAAGUCUGACGGAGCAACGCCGCGGGAGUGAUGAAGGGUUUCGGGUUGUAAAGCACUGUUAAUCGGGACGCGGUACCGAAAUAGAAAGCCACGGCUAACUACGUGCCAGCCGCCGCGGUAAUUC